AGAGUUUGAUCAUGGCUCAGGAUGAACGCUAGCUACAGGCUUAACACAUGCAAGUCGAGGGGAAACGACAUCGAAAGCUUGCUUUUGAUGGGCGUCGACCGGCGCACGGGUGAGUAACGCGUAUCCAACCUGCCCAUCACUUGGGGAUAACCUUGCGAAAGUAAGACUAAUACCCAAUGACGUCUCUAGAAGACAUCUGAAAGAGAUUAAAGAUUUAUCGGUGAUGGAUGGGGAUGCGUCUGAUUAGCUUGUUGGCGGGGUAACGGCCACCAAGGCGACGAUCAGUAGGGGUUCUGAGAGGAAGGUCCCCCANAGUUGGAACUGAGACACGGUCCAAACUCCGUACGGGAGGCCA
rnacentral:rRNA from 1 species